AACGCAUAUUGCAUUUACUGGUAUUCCGGUAAUUAUGCCUGUUCGAGUCUCAGUUUUAAUCUCACAAACACUCUUGCUUGUUGUCAUGACGACAAUGAGUGCUGUGGAGUUGAGCGUUUUUCCCAGCUUUAUUUAAACAUGGCUGGGUCGCUCGAAAUUUAUGGUAUUUGUGGACAAGUCGUUGUUAGACUGUCUCAACAAUAGUACCGCUAAGUUUAAGCUCAUCUUUACUGAUUGGCAACUCUUUAGCUGGGAAAUGUUGAACUAUGACUGACUAACGUUAUAACGAACGUGACCAACAGACCAUAUCCCUUGUUCGAGUGUUUGUCUGUAACGACGCACUUGAAAAACUUCAUUUUGAACCUUGAGCUCGAAUCAAGCAAGACUACCCGCUGAACUUAA
rnacentral:misc_RNA from 1 species